AUUGAACGCUGGCGGCAGGCCUAACACAUGCAAGUCGAGCGGAUGAGGGGAGCUUGCUCCUUGAUUCAGCGGCGGACGGGUGAGUAAUGCCUAGGAAUCUGCCUGGUAGUGGGGGAUAACGUUCCGAAAGGAACGCUAAUACCGCAUACGUCCUACGGGAGAAAGCAGGGGACCUUCGGGCCUUGCGCUCUCAGCUGAGCCUAGGUCGGAUUAGCUAGUUGGUGAGGUAAUGGCUCACCAAGGCGACGAUCCGUAACUGGUCUGAGAGGAUGAUCAGUCACACUGGAACUGAGACACGGUCCAGACUCCUACGGGAGGCAGCAGUGGGGAAUAUUGGACAAUGGGCGAAAGCCUGAUCCAGCCAUGCCGCGUGUGUGAAGAAGGUCUUCGGAUUGUAAAGCACUUUAAGUUGGGAGGAAGGGCAGUAAGUUAAUACCUUGCUGUUUUGACGUUACCAACAGAAUAAGCACCGGCUAACUUCGUGCCAGCAGCCGCAGUAAAAC
rnacentral:rRNA from 1 species